rnacentral:misc_RNA from 1 species
GGAUUCCAAAUUUAACACAAUAAAUUCUAUUUCGAUCGUGUUACAAUGUACACAAGUACUACUUUAGUCAUUAUCUUUUUAACGAUAUAAAAAAAAAAUAUUAAUGCACGACUAAAGUAUCACGUAAGUAUUAUACAUAAAAAAAAAAAAGAAAAAAAAAAAUAAAUUUCUAAAGAAUUCAUUUUAUCAAUAAAAAAAUCUUAGUUAAUCCAAACGUAAAAAAAUAUAUACAUACUUGAUAUGAACUGGAACGAAACGAAGCCCAGUCGGUAAAGUGUGAAUCGAUUUAUGAAAUGAACGUAGAAAAGAAGAAGAAAAGAGAACAAAAAAGGAAUAUAUGAAGCACGAUGAAGAAUAGAGCGUCGGUCGUUAACGAGGGGGGUUGCUCGUCCUCGAGGAUGAUGCGGCGUGGUGUGUGCAAGUGGUUCGUUCCCGGCCGGUCCGAUCAACGUGUGACACGGUGCGUCGUCAACGUAAAUAGACGUGGAGGUGGCCGGUGGCACCGGUGCCACCGGUUGCCACUUUGCGGGUAAAGCGUGCACACGAUCAUUGAACGCAUGCGCACUACCGUUAUGUCAGUUUAUAGAGAGGCCGAGUACACCCCCUCUUUCACCCGUGCACCCUUCGCCUGUCCAUCGAUGCGUUCUCCUAACCAACCCGAGUGGGGGUAGAGCUCUCCUCUCCGCGGGCUAUCCUCUAGGAGGAUAUCAAACUCAGUCGCAAAGCGUACGUUCGCGCGUGUGUUCGUUUGCGAGUUUCCCUUAUUCAAAGACAAAACUUGCUUACUUGCUUGCUCGUCGCGUGACUUUCGUCAUACUUCAACGCGCUCUUCGUCGGAUUUGAUUUGUGCUUUCGUUUCCAGUUGGAACGGUUCGUUUAUCCAUGUGAGUGGUGAAACAUCGAACAAUCUCCCUAGAUAGUGACUUGUUGAACUUAUUGCUACGAAAUGAGGAGCACGUGGAUUUCCGGUGACAUAGCCGAGGAUCACGAUGAGUGUACUGCACGAGAGAAACCUUGAACUUGAAUCGCUGAAGAUCGUCGAGACCUCGCUGUCUUAACGACUUGUUCUCAUCGGCGUGUCAAAAUCGUGAACAGUCUCGGAAGUGACAGGACAGACAGAGGGUAUAGCCGCGACCACCGAUGGCGGCCGCGAGCUUUCCGCCAAACUUCUCGAACGUCGGCAUAUUGGAGAACUGGCUUUCCACGACUCUUCUCGGAGAAGAGGAUCAGAGGAAAGAGGGGAAAAUGAGUUAGAGAGACAAAGGCGCAGAGCAACAACGAGCCGGGCUACACACGAGACCGAGCACGAGCCUUUUCACCCGAGAACCCCUGUUCCGUCUCUCUUUUUUUCAAGGAUGCAGGUACGAAUCCUGGUCGCCGGUCCUGGUGAACCGACGUUGGACCACCAGGUGCGAGCACGAACAACGGAGCGACGGUGACCGGGACCCGGUAUAUUGUCUCUCCGCCGGCAUGGAGGCGGCGAACGGUGCGAUCGAGCACGACUUUCACAAUGCUCUGGUGCCUAUAAACGGUAGCCAUUCCGGCAGCUCCGGGAGGAGUACACCGAAUGGCGGCGACCCAGCACCCGGCAAACUCUUCGUGGGUGGCUUGUCCUGGCAGACCAGUAGCGAGAAACUCAGGGAGUACUUCGGCAUGUUCGGUACCGUCACCGAUGUCCUGAUCAUGAAGGAUCCGGUUACACAGG